rnacentral:rRNA from 1 species
UACGUAGGUCGCAAGCGUUGUCCGGAUUUACUGGGCGUAAAGAGCGCGCAGGCGGCUGGUCAAGUCCGAUGUGAAAUCUCCCGGCUCAACUGGGAAACUGCAUCGGAAACUGACCGGCUUGAAGGUGGGAGAGGGUAGUGGAAUUCCCGGUGUAGUGGUGAAAUGCGUAGAUAUCGGGAAGAACACCUGAGGCGAAGGCGGCUAUCUGGCGGUGCACUGACGCUGAUGCGCGAAAGGCGUGGGGAGCAAACAGG